CUGCCGUGGGUGGACGAUAUUUGAGGAGAUCUGUCCUUAGUACGAGAGGACCGGGAUGGACGUACCUCUGGUGAACCAGUUGUCGUGCUAACGGCAUCGCUGGGUAGCUAUGUACGGAAAGGAUAAAUGCUGAAGGCAUAUAAGCAUGAAGCCUACUCCAAAACUAGAUAUCGUUUUCCUUUUUAGGAAGAGAGACACCUUGAAGACUACGAGGUUGAUAGGCCAGAGGUGUAAGUAUAGUAAUAUACUCAGCUGACUGGUACUAAUUAGUCGAAAAGCUUGACUUU
rnacentral:rRNA from 1 species